UAUUUUUCUAGGAAAUUGUUAUGUUGGCAUUCUACCUAGAUUUUGAUUAUUGUCUCUUCAACACUUCCAUAAUUAUUAUAUGAAACUUCAUAUAGCAAAAACAUACUCAUUAUAUCCAUCUACUAUGUAUAAUUCCAAUAUUAUAAGUCUUGUUUGUGAUUAUUACCAUAUAAUCAUAUAUACACAUGAAAGCAGUUUUAGAAAGUAGUAAUAUGCAUUUGUGAUUAGCCUAUUUGCUUCUACUGGAAGUCUGCAGGUGGAGGCGAGCUAUGGGCUUCCUCAUUGUUGGUGUUGUCGGCUUCCAGCUAUGUAAGGUGCUACGGAUUUUAAUCAUUCCUACUUCCUCCAUAGCGGCUGAUUGUCUACAGGUAUUUUUAUUUCUUGUUACCAUAUAUUAGCAAGUUAUAUUACUUAUAUGUGUAUUAAGUCCAAGCAAGAUGGCUUACAUGUACUAACUGAAAUAUGGGUUAAUGCAAUGGAUUUUUCACAUGUGCUGGCUAUAAUGUUGGAGCUAGAUUUCCUCAUGGUUCUGUUGACCUGAAAAAACCGUGGGAGAGGUGAACUGUUACCAGGAACAUAAAACUCAUGAAAGUGCAUGUCCCAAUGUAUUUAAAUAAUUACAAUAUGGCAUGCGUCUAAUAGUGCUUAUGUUACUGAUGUUAUCACAGUUUUGGCCCAGUUUUCUGUUGAUUAACUUGGCAAUUCUCUUCUUCUUGAUUAAUUGAUUGAGGCCUUUGGCCUCCGCUUUCGAAAAUAAAUAAAUAAAUAAAUAUACCACUGUUAUCUAAUAAGUCUUCCUUAUAUUAAUGGAUGCCAAGUAUUCCUACUCUAUAUCAGUAAAUACAAAUAGUAUGUCUUACUACUUACUUUCAACAUAACUAACAUAUAAUCUUCCGCGCUCCUUCAGAUUUCCCAUCCAAUGAGUUCAUCAAGUUCAAGACAAAUGUAUUAAGAUUCUUUUAUCACCCACAUUAAAGAAAUUGCAGCUUGUAGUAGUUGUACAACCACUAAUUUGGAGUUGAAUACUAUGCCUACCAUAUAAUUAUAUUUUGUGCAGAAAACUAUCACCACAUGACAUAUACCAACAUCAAAUAUAUUUUUGUAACAUAUCUAUUGUAGAUAUUGGCAUGGAUGCAAAAUCCUAAAUAAGUUACGCAAAAAAAUAAAGUUAGCAAUCUAAAGAAGUUCAGACACAUUACUAAGUCGAAUAUGGCUCCAUAAGGUUAUAAUUGAUAUAACUCAAUUGUUCCUACAGGUCUUAGAGUCUUGUUGUUCUCGAAAAGUGGUGAUAUCAUAUCUUAGAAGAAGUCUGAUGCCUUACCUGAUUUGCUUAGUUUCCAUGCGCCAUUCCAG
rnacentral:lncRNA from 1 species